rnacentral:rRNA from 1 species
UACGGAGGAUGCAAGCGUUAUCCGGAAUGAUUGGGCGUAAAGCGCCCGCAGGUGGCUAUGUAAGUCUGCUGUUAAAGAGUGAGGCUCAACCUCAUAAGAGCAGUGGAAACUACAUGGCUAGAGUGCGUUCGGGGCAGAGGGAAUUCCUGGUGUAGCGGUGAAAUGCGUAGAUAUCAGGAAGAACACCGGUGGCGAAAGCGCUCUGCUAGGCCGCAACUGACACUGAGGGACGAAAGCUAGGGGAGCGAAUGGG